GUGCUCACUUUGGCAGCAUAUGUAGUAAAACUAGAUCAACACAGAAAAGACUGGCAUGGCCACAGCACAAGAGUAAGAGGCAAAUUCAUGAAGUGUUCCAGAUUUUU